rnacentral:lncRNA from 1 species
UGGUGUUAGUGAGCGAUCUAGUGCUAGCGGCAGCUUAUUCAUUUUCAUACCGUUGUACUGACAGCUGCAUAUUGUCUUGUUUAUUUCAACCAGAAGUGGCGAAAAAAAUCAACUAAAAAUCUGUUAAAAAGUGAAAAAAUCCUUUAAUUGAGUAGCGUGCCAUUACAAGUGUGGUUCACAGUUAGCUAGUUAGCUGGAGAACAAGGUGAAAGUGAAAAAUAUCCAUGGGAGAAUGGAAACAGUUUUCACCGACGUCCUAGGCAGCAGCCGCCGGAAGAAAAACAUUGAAGAACAAUUCCUCCUUGUGAUCUUUAGAUACUAAGAUCGUAAGUAAUUGUUUGAAUUAAUACCUUCUAUGGCGUGGAUACUGCAAAGUUCCAGCACGGUGAAGUUCCAAGGAAGCCCAAAAUGAAUUUAUAUCUCACACUAAAGUGCAAAAAAGUGACAAGAGAGUGCAUGUUAUUUCACGAAAUAUAUUAAAAAAUGUAAAA